GCCUGAUGAUCUGUCACUGUCUCUCACCAUCUAGUUGCAGGAAAAUAAGCUCAGGGCUCCCACUGAUUUCACAUUAUGAAGGAGACAUGCAUACAAGGAGAAUGCCAGGUGAACGUGAAGACCAUCAUUUGCAAGCCAAGAGAGGCCUGGAGCAGAUCCUUCAGAGCCCUCAGAAGGAACCAACCCUGCUGGCACCUUGAUUUUGGACUUCCAGCCUCCAGAACUAAGAACUUGAUGUAUACCUCCUGACCUGUUCAUCUUGUAGCUGCCUCUUGACAGCACAUGUUGGCACCUUUAGAAAGAUCUAGAAAUCCACGUGUUGUACGUAAAUCUGGGGCUGUUGUUACUGCAGAUGUACCUUCCACAACUUGAUUUUCUGUGAUGUCAAUUAUUCAG